UAGCUAGUAGGUGAGCUCACGGGGCUCAAA
rnacentral:sRNA from 1 species